AGUCGAGCGGGGGAAGGUAGCUUGCUACUGGACCUAGCGGCGGACGGGUGAGUAAUGCUUAGGAAUCUGCCUAUUAGUGGGGGACAACAUCUCGAAAGGGAUGCUAAUACCGCAUACGUCCUACGGGAGAAAGCAGGGGAUCUUCGGACCUUGCGCUAAUAGAUGAGCCUAAGUCGGAUUAGCUAGUUGGUGGGGUAAAGGCCUACCAAGGCGACGAUCUGUAGCGGGUCUGAGAGGAUGAUCCGCCACACUGGGACUGAGACACGGCCCAGACUCCUACGGGAGGCAGCAGUGGGGAAUAUUGGACAAUGGGGGGAACCCUGAUCCAGCCAUGCCGCGUGUGU
rnacentral:rRNA from 1 species